UACAGAGGGUGCGAGCGUUAAUCGGAAUUACUGGGCGUAAAGCGCACGUAGGUGGCGACGUAAGUCGGGUGUGAAAGCCCCGGGCUCAACCUGGGAAUUGCAUUCGAGACUGCAUUGCUGGAGUACGGAAGAGGAAGGCGGAAUUCCCGGUGUAGCGGUGAAAUGCGUAGAUAUCAGGAGGAACACCGGUGGCGAAGGCGGUGGUCUGGGCCGGAACUGACGCUGAGGAGCGAAAGCGUGGGGAGCGAACAGG
rnacentral:rRNA from 1 species